UCUGAAAGGUUCACCAUCACUGGGUUAGAGUUAGAAAAACAAAGUGUCUUGGCAUGAUUUUGAUGGUUGGAAUGUUUUUAGAAGGGCAGAAAUGCUGAGCAGUGAAGAAAAAGCUACUCAACGAAGGCUAUUUCAUAAUCGUCCUAUUUUCAGAGGAACUGAACCCUAAUAUUAGGGUUAGGGGUGUGCACCAGGGUAGGGUUAGGGUUAGGAAAACGAGGUGUGCUGGCAUUGUUUUGAUGGGUGGAAUGUGUUUUCAAUGGACAGAAAUGAUGAGCUGUGCAGAAAAAGCAGCUCAAGGAAGGGUUUUUCAAAAUCAUCCUCUUUUCAAUGGAACUGUAGCCCUGUAUUACGAUUGGGGUGUGGAUCAGGGUAGGGUUAGGGUUAGAAACAUGAGGUGUCCUCGUAAGAUUUUAAUGGUUAGACUGUGUUUAGAAGGGGCAGAAGUGUUGAGCUGUGCCGAAACAGCUACUUAAGGAAGGCUUUUUCAAAGUUGCCUUAUUUUCAAUGUAACCUUUGUCCUAUAUUAGGGUUAGAGUAUUGCACCAGGCUAGGGUUAGAGCAGUGGUCGUGAACCUAUGGCAGGCGUGCUACAGCGGGCAUGAAGAGCCCUUUCUGUCAACACGCUAGCUCAGUCACCCCUGCAUCACCCCAGCAGGUGUGCACCAGAUAACAGCGUUCAUAGGGGCUAUGCGCAUUUUCGGAAGCGAGCAGUAGCUCCAGGCGAUGCCUUUACGAGCUAUGACUUACUAGCUGCUGCUCAUCCGGGCUUUCGCAUGGCUGGUCAGUGCGCUGCCAAGGAUAGAUAUAUAUUUGCUUGGACUGGCUGUGAGGUUUUUUAAUCUAAAAACUGUUUUAUUGUCGUGUUGGGACUUUGCGAUAAAUAAGUGAGUUUUGGGUUGCAGUUUGGGCACUCCGUCUCUAAAAGAUUCGCCAUCACUGCACUAGUGUCUUGUGGUGUUUUUGUUUUUUUGCCGUCCCCUUUUUCCUUCAGCCUAUCUCACCCCAAGUGCUGCCCCUGAAUUCUCUAAGACAGAAUGUAACCUUCUACUCAAAGAGCCUUCACAUGCCUAAGUCAUAAAGAUUAAUUGAGCAGCAGAAAGCCAAGGGU